AGUGAACGCUGGCGGUAGGCCUAACACAUGCAAGUCGAACGGCAGCACAGUAAGAGCUUGCUCUUACGGGUGGCGAGUGGCGGACGGGUGAGGAAUACAUCGGAAUCUACUUUUUCGUGGGGGAUAACGUAGGGAAACUUAUGCUAAUACCGCAUACGACCUACGGGUGAAAGCAGGGGAUCUUCGUACCUUGGGCGAUUGAAUGAGCCGAUGUCGGAUUAGCUAGUUGGCGGGGUAAAGGCCCACCAAGGCGACGAUCCGUAGCUGGUCUGAGAGGAUGAUCAGCCACCCUGGAACUGAGACACGGUCCAGACUCCUACGGGAGGCAGCAGUGGGGAAUAUUGGACAAUGGGCGCAAGCCUGAUCCAGCCAUACCGCGUGGGUGAAGAAGGCCUUCGGGUUGUAAAGCCCUUUUGUUGGGAAAGAAAAGCAGCAGGUUAAUACCCCGCUGUUCUGACGGUACCCAAAGAAUAAGCACCGGCUAACUUCGUG
rnacentral:rRNA from 1 species